rnacentral:rRNA from 1 species
AGCAACUUGGAGGAAUGAAUAGCAAUAGCUAAUUGCUCAAAAACAUGAUGCAAUAUCGACUCAGUCGAAUAAAAUUCUGGCUAAAAUUAUGAUAAUGACAUUAUUUAGUCACGUGUCUUGACCAAAUUACGUGCCAGCAGUCGCGGUAAUACGUAGAAGACUAGUGUUAUUCAUCUUUAAUAGGUUUAAAGGGUACCCAGACGGUAAAUCAAGCCCUUGACGGGACUAAUUUGCUAGAGUUACUUACGCGGGGGUUUUAAAGUACUAAUGGUGUAGAGAUAAAAUUUUGUAAUACCAUUUUUCGAAAGAAAAGUUAUGGCACUGGUAAAGGCGAAAGCAUCCCCUUAUGUGAUAACUGACGUUGAAGGACGAAGGCUUUGGAUCGCGAAUAGGAUUAGAUACCCUAGUAGUCGAAGCAGAAAAUUAUGAGUGUUAUAAAUUAGAGAUUAGCUUUAUUUUAUAAAUGAAAGUGUAAGCACUCCACCUCAAGAGUAAUUUGGCAACAUUGGAACUGAAAUCAUUAGACCGUUUCUGAAACCAGUAGUGAAGUAUGUUGUUUAAUUUGAUAAUCCGCAAAAAACCUUACCACAGCUUGAAUAUUUAUAUUUUGAUAUAUUUACAAGCGUUGCACGGCUGUCUUCAGUUAAUGUCGUGAGACUUUGGUUAGAUCCAUUAAAUUAACGUAAGCCCUUACUUUAUUUACAAAUAAAGUAGUUCCCCACUAUAUUGGAUAUGAUAAUAGGGAUUAAGACAAGUCAUCAUGGCCUAAAUGCUGU